rnacentral:misc_RNA from 1 species
GGCGACCUUCCUCAUCGCUCCGGCUUGAGAAAUCGCCAAGUAACCGAUUCGCUUCACCAGAGCCUCCGCUAGAUUCAGAUCGUUCUGCUGUACAGCUUCGGCACAAGCCAUCAGAGCAUGAACCAGUUGAAUUCCAUUCUCCUGCGAAUCGACGAGGACGACCGGGCGAGUUACAGAAUCGGAAGCCCCAAUCGCCGAGGUGGAGAACAAGUCCGAGUCCGACUCAGAGGAUUUCAAACGUUUAUUCUCU